UGGCGGCGAUAGCGCGGUGGUCCCACCUGACCCCAUGCCGAACUCAGAAGUGAAACGCCGUAGCGCCGAUGGUAGUGUGGGGUCUCCCCAUGUGAGAUUAGGGAACUGCCAGACU
rnacentral:rRNA from 1 species